GUCGGGUAUGGUGGCCACACCUGUAAUCCCAGCAGCUCAGGAGGCUGAGGCAGGAGGAUCACAAGUUCAAAGCCAGCGCCAGCCUCUGCAAGUUAAUGAGGCCCUAAGGAACUCAGUGAGACCCUAUCUCUA
rnacentral:sRNA from 1 species